GCGUCAGGUAGUCAAUACAGCCAUGAUCGUCGCGCUCCGACCCCGAUCUGACGGCCCGGUUCGAGCCUGGGCUGACCGCC
rnacentral:tRNA from 1 species